rnacentral:rRNA from 1 species
GUGUCUGGUGGGUAGUUUGACUGGGGCGGUCUCCUCCUAAAGAGUAACGGAGGAGCACGAAGGUUGGCUAAGCAUGGUCGGACAUCAUGCGGUUAGUGCAAAGGCAUAAGCCAGCUUGACUGCGAGAGUGACGGCUCGAGCAGGUACGAAAGUAGGUCUUAGUGAUCCGGUGGUUCUGAAUGGAAGGGCCAUCGCUCAACGGAUAAAAGGUACUCCGGGGAUAACAGGCUGAUACCGCCCAAGAGUUCAUAUCGACGGCGGUGUUUGGCACCUCGAUGUCGGCUCAUCACAUCCUGGGGCUGAAGUAGGUCCCAAGGGUAUGGCUGUUCGCCAUUUAAAGUGGUACGCGAGCUGGGUUUAGAACGUCGUGAGACAGUUCGGUCCCUAUCUGCCGUGGGCGUUGGAAGAUUGAGAGGGGUUGCUCCUAGUACGAGAGGACCGGAGUGAACGCACCACUGGUGUUCGGGUUGUCAUGCCAAUGGCAUUGCCCGGUAGCUAAGUGCGGAAGAGAUAACCGCUGAAAGCAUCUAAGCGGGAAACUUGCCU